rnacentral:lncRNA from 1 species
GAGAGAGAGAGAGAGAGAGAGAGAGAGAGUUGAGCUGGAAUACUACCGGUAGCAAACGGCUCCGUUGCCACCCAUUUAUUUUUGAUAGAAUACUCUCAAAAGCACCAAGGGGGUAGUGCUUUUGAGUUUUUAACCAUUGGAUAGAGAGAUGUAGGAUUGAGAUGAUGGUAGUAGGUGGUGGUAGGUGGAAUAGUGUUUGAUCCAAGGGGUAUUAAUAAUUAAGGAGUAGAUCCAAGGGCUAAAAACUUAGAAGCACCAAAGAGUUGGUGCUUCUAAAAGUAUUCUAGCUCAAUUAUAUAUAUAUAUAUAUAUAGAGAGAGAGAGAGAGAGAGAGAGAGAGAGAGAGAGAG